rnacentral:tRNA from 1 species
GCAGAUAUGAUGAAAUUGGCAAACAUAUUAGAUUUAGAGUCUAUAAAAUAAUUUAAAAAUUAGUUAUGAGGGUUCAAGUCCCUCUAUCUGUA